GAUGAACGCUGGCGGCGUGCUUAACACAUGCAAGUCGAACGGAAAGGCCCUGCUUGCAGGGUACUCGAGUGGCGAACGGGUGAGUAACACGUGGGUGAUCUGCCCUGUACUUUGGGAUAAGCCUGGGAAACUGGGUCUAAUACCGAAUAUGACAAUUGUUUGGAUGCGAUUGUGGAAAGCUUUUGCGGUAUGGGAUGAGCUCGCGGCCUAUCAGCUUGUUGGUGGGGUAAUGGCCUACCAAGGCGUCGACGGGUAGCCGGCCUGAGAGGGUGUACGGCCACAUUGGGACUGAGCUACGGCCCAGACUCCUACGGGAGGCAGCAGUGGGGAAUAUUGCACAAUGGGUGCAAGCCUGAUGCAGCGACGCCGCGUGGGGGAUGACGGCCUUCGGGUUGUAAACUCCUUUCGCAACCGACGAAGCCUUUUGGUGACGGUAGGUUGAGAAGAAGCACCGGCUAACUACGUG
rnacentral:rRNA from 1 species